rnacentral:lncRNA from 10 species
GUCAGAACUAGAACCCCAGUCUCCUGACUCAUUAGAGAAUCACAUCAUGAUUCUGCACAAACUCAGACAGACCCAGACUUUCCUAUACACUUGUGGCAAAUGAGAGGCUCUUUUCCACUGGGGUUGCCCAGCUACUGUAAUGCAUGCCUGGCGUUGCUGGAGCUGCUGGAUAGGGCUGGGCACUGGGGGAGUGUGCUCUAUGGAGAAAGCCUGCCUGAGAGUGAAACCGUUAUAGUGGAAGGUGUAAGCCAGGAAUCGGGAGACGGGACUUGAGAGCAUUUGAGCCAAUAACCUGUGCCUGAAGCUAGUGCCACCUCUUGGACGUUUCUGUGAUAUUAGCUGGGGUUUCCCCUUUGGCUUGAUUCUCAUUCUCUUCGCCUGCUGCCAUGAAUGACGUGCCUUUUGCCUUCUGCCAUGAUUGUGAAGUCUCCCCAGCUGCGUGGAACUCUACAGAGCAGCAUCUGAAGAGCCACGGGGCCCCCACCUUCAUCCCUGAGAAUUUUAGGAGCCAGCCUGCCUUUCCAGGUGACACUGGACACUUUCAUCUGAGAACCCUGUCACAUGACAGUUGUUUCCUUUCUUCCUCCUCUCCUGGGAAUGCUGCUGCUUCGAUGACCCAAGAGCCUAAGAAGGGUAGCUGUUUCUCAAUACACUGAGAGAGAGUUCUUUCUCCGUCCUGACCAUCUUGGGACCCGAUGGCAAGACUGGAAGGAUUUAUAUCUCCUUUUGUACAGAAAACUGCCUCCCCAUGUUGGUUUGUGAAGUGAAAUGCAUAUAAAACAGAGGAUUCCAGACUCUCAGAAGUCAAUACAUAAAUAAAUAAAAAUAAAACUGAGAAGAUACCUCAAAAUGGUCAGACUCAUUAGCAUCAUCCAGGUGUAUUUUCUCUUCAAACAGUGUCAGUGGGUCUCUAAUAAAGAGAUGAGCAACAUGCUGGGCCAGGAGAUGAUCAAUGCCUGCAAAAAGAGAUCACAUGGGAACUCACUGCAAAGCGAGAGAUACCACUUCCUCUUAGUCCAGAAAGACGACAGGAUAGCUCAGGAAGUUUGAAGAAAGGGUGUCUAGAAGCUUGAAAUAGCUGGUUUGAUUAGUAUCCUCACCUCACCCAGUAUUUUAUCCUGCGGACACUGCGGGAGUGUCAGCGUUUUAUUCACUACUUACACAAUGCCUGCUGGGGCACUGGUGUGGACCUAGACACAGACCUCCAAAGUAAGCUCCUUUUGCUAAAAAUCAAGAAAAUCUCACAAGUAUUUGGAACCUGAAACUUUAGGAACAAGUAGCCUCAUGAGAGAAGUUAAAGACUUUGCACUAAAAAUAGAAACCAGACCAGGAGUCAGCAAAAAAGUGUAAAAGAGCUUUGAAGAACUAAAGGCGUACAUUCAAACCCAGAAAGAUGGAGUAGAAACCCACCUUCCUGCAACAGCUGUUCGUAGAUCUCUUUAUCUAUCGUCAA